GGACUUUGAAUGCCAACGUCAGAAAGAUGUUUCUGCGAAAGCUUCUGUUUAGUUAGGCGACGUUAUCUCGUUUCCAACGAAAUCCUAGGAGAGGUCCAAAUAUCCACCAGCAGAGUCUGCAAAAAGUGUGUUUCAAAACUGCUCCACCCAAAGGAAUGUUCAGCUCUGUGAGUUGAACUCAAUCAUCCCAAAGUAUUUCCUGAGAAUGCUUCUGUCCAGUUUUUACAUGAGGCUGUUUCCUUUACUACCGUAGGCCUCAAAGCGUUCCAAAUCUCCACUUGCAGAUGCUACGAAAAGAGCGUUUCAACCUGAACUCACAAGGGAAGGUUCACCUCUGUCAGUUGAAUGUCAACAUCACAAAGAAGUUCUGAGAAUGUUCCUCUUCAGUUAUGUGAGGUUUAUCCCGUUUCCAACGAAAUUCUCAGAGAAGUCCCAAUAUCCAC
rnacentral:lncRNA from 1 species